UCAUGUCGGAACACAAAUAUGCUCAACAACAACCGAAUAGCGCAUCCCUCAACAAUAAUAGUAUGAAGCCAACCAAUUCGAUGUUGUGUAGGAUACACAUCCUAAUUGGGCCUACCGAUGAGCCUCCAAAUCAACUGUGGUCAUCACAAAUAUACAAAUUACCCUCCAAAGAGCCACAAUGACCCAACCAUAGCACAUACCAUCCUUUGACUAGAUUUGGCCACAUUUUUACGGUCCCCAACCACGAAACAAUCUACUCAUGAGAAUGUCCAGUCUCCAAAUCCAUAUCAUACAUGAAUCACUGUAUCCAAUCCCAUCUCCACCUCCCAAAUAUCUAACACAUCUCUAUUACACGAUCUUCCCAUGAGGAAUACUUCUAUAACUCUUCUAUUCCUCCAAGCAGAAUUAAACAUCAUCAAUCGAUAAACUAGGACAGUGCCAUAAUACCAAAUAUUAUCCAUAAUCAAAAUACAUCUCCCAUUCGGAAAUGUUUACUCUCAUCAAGCCGUACCAAAUAGUAAUAUCAUUUAUCUAGUCAUUUGAAACCGUCCAUGUUGCUUAAGAAUUUUAUGAAAUUUCCUUCAAAACUUAAUUGUGACCUUGUACUUGCGCCAAUCUCUAUCCCACACAACACAUCGCAUAUACCAUGCCAUCAUAUGAAAAAUACGAGAACUUCAUAAUCCACUCUGAGUAACAAGCAACUACAUACUCAAUUAGCCAAGAACUUUCUAUUUGAUUUCAUCUAGAGAAAAUCACUAUACAUCACAUGCUCCUCACGCCA
rnacentral:lncRNA from 1 species